UACAGGGGGGGCAAGCGUUGUUCGGAAUUACUGGGCGUAAAGGGUUCGUAGGUGGCCACUUAAGUCAGACGUGAAAUCCCUCAGCUUAACUGGGGAACUGCGUCUGAUACUGCGUGGCUUGAGUGCAGGAGAGGAAUGCGGAAUUCCAGGUGUAGCGGUGAAAUGCGUAGAUAUCUGGAGGAACACCGGUGGCGAAGGCGGUUCUCUGGGACGGUACUGACGCUGAGACGCGAAAGCGUGGGGAGCGAACAGG
rnacentral:rRNA from 1 species